rnacentral:rRNA from 1 species
AUGGGGGCAACCCUGAUCCAGCGACGCCGCGUGAAGGAUGAAGGUCUUCGGAUUGUAAACUUCUUUUGGAGGGGAUGAAUGUCUGCGUGAAUAACGCAGAGUGACAGUACUCUCUGAAUAAGCCACGGCUAACUACGUGCCAGCAGCCGCGGUAAUACGUAGGUGGCAAGCGUUACUCGGAAUCACUAGGCGUAAAGCGCAGGUAGGCGGUUCGGUAAGUCUGUUGUGAAAGCUCCCGGCUCAACUGGGAGAGGCCAACGGAAACUACCGGGCUAGAGUGUGGUAGAGGUAGCUGGAAUUCCCGGUGUAGCGGUGAAAUGCGUAGAUAUCGGGAGGAAUACCUAUGGCGAAAGCAGGCUACUGGACCAUCACUGACGCUGAUCUGCGAAAGCUAGGGGAGCAAACAGGAUUAGAUACCCUGGUAGUCCUAGCCCUAAACGAUGCUCAUUAGGUGUGGGAGGUAUCGACCCCUUCCGCGCCGAAGCUAACGCAUUAAAUGAGCCGCCUGGGGAGUACG